UAGAACGAAAUUCAUAACAGUGUGGUCGACAGUAAAACGUUUAUUAGUAAUUGUACUGAAAAGUUUACCUUUAACUUGUUUGUCGUGGGCGAUGAUUUUAUGCUCACUCAGUCUAUCGGAGGCCUUCAAGUGGGGAUUUAAAUAAUCAUUUGUUACACAUUUUGAUACAUAAAAUGAAACUUUCUUUUCACAUAUCAUUUAAGGAAUUUAUUUUAAAUAAUUGUUAUACCAUCACUUACAACAGUUUCACUUUUAAGAAUAUUAAUGUCCAGAGCUGAUAUCAAUAAAUAAUAAUAAAAAAAAAAAAAGUUUAUUCAUGGUAAAAAAAACCAAAAAAACUUUUAAGUUAAUAGGGACCCGCGUUAUUUCAGAAAAUAUCUUAUUGAUUAAGAGAACAAAAACUUCUACGUUGUGAUCAUUUAAGAGUGGCCUUCUAUUUAUUCAAUGCUAACCAUGUGGGCUUUGUUUUUUUUAUAUAUACCAUAAAUCGAUUCGUUCAUUCAGAUAUUUGUCAGUUUGCCUUGGCUCUUCAAGUCCAACACACAACUUCUCACGAAAUUGGUAUUUUUCUUACAAAAAUUACAUCCAUGUGAUGUAUUCUUUUCACGGAGAAUGAAUGUUGCACCGUAUUUUAUUUGUUAUCGUUUUUUUUUUUGUGUGUAUCAUUGACGUAUAAGACAACCUGAAUCUUCUUUAUUCAAAUUUAAAACAUACGAGA
rnacentral:lncRNA from 1 species